CACCGCCCAUUGCUUCUACCAAUUGAAUGGUUUAGUGAAGUGUUCAAAUCGCGGCGACGUAGGAGGUUUGCUGUCCGCAACAUCGCAAGAAGUCCACUGAACCUUAUCAUUAAGAGGAAGGAGAAGUUUUAACAAGGUUUUCAUAGGUGAAUCUGCAGAAA
rnacentral:ncRNA from 1 species